UACGGAGGGUGCAAGCGUUAUCCGGAUUUACCGGGUUUAAAGGGUGUGUAGGCGGACUUUUAAGUCAGUGGUGAAAUCCUCCAGCUUAACUGGAGAACUGCCAUUGAUACUGGGAGACUUGAGUACAGACGAGGUAGGCGGAAUUGACAGUGUAGCGGUGAAAUGCAUAGAUAUUGUCAAGAACACCGAUUGCGAAGGCAGCUUACUAGACUGUAACUGACGCUGAGGCACGAAAGUGUGGGGAUCAAACAGG
rnacentral:rRNA from 1 species